rnacentral:lncRNA from 1 species
CCUUGUUUGAAACUGUUUCUACAUAUAAAGAUUUAUAGUGCUGGGAACAAAAAUUAUCAUCUGGAUUUCAUUAAGAUUUUCCUGGCAAGUAAUUAAUGCUGAAAGCAUGUUUUGAUCAAGCAUCUCCAAUAGCAGCAAUGGUAAGUGAGUUAAAAGCAUCUAGCAUUGGAGAAAUAGGUCUACAUGGGCUCUGAAAGUUUUUGCUAGUUUUCCCAGCCCUCAGCAAACGGUGGUGCUAGUACCUUAUUUUUCAUUCCCUGUGUUUCCUCAUUUCAUGGUCAUAUCAGCCUCUUGGUGACUGCCAAUGAGCGGAUCUCAUCAUAGCUGAAAAUUCAGGAACAUGUGCAAAGAAGCCACCCAAAUGGACAAGAAAUUUGAAUAUUCUCUCUCCUGGCUUUUUGCUUUAGAAUGAGAAGACUGCAGGUGUGAUCAGAUCAUUGCAAAAUGCCCGGAUCACUGUGGAAAUUAUACGAGAAGUGCCAAGAAGUACUAAAUGUUUUUUGGAACUGCUCUGCUGCUAGAAGAACAAGCCAAAAAUUGCUUUGGCUGCCUCAAAUAGUGUCCUAUAAUAAUCUAUCAAGUGCUCCUGGGAAGAGUGGAAGGAAAGGGAGGAGCGCAGAACAAGCACCACAUUUUUUUUCUAUUUCAGCUCAUUCCCCUUUCCGCUUACUCUAAAAUCCUGUUGCAUUUCUCACAGAUGUUUGGCCAUUAUCUUAAAGUAAACAGAAUUCUUUUCAUCGCUUUCAUUCCUCUUCCUUUUCCUCUUCCUUGUCCCUGUGUCACCCUUACUGUUUUUUUUGACACAGCGGAGAAAACUCUAAUCCUUCCUAUUGCUCAGGCCUGGUUUUCAGCUUUGCUUUGGACAUCCUUCCUGCAUGCAGUUCAAUGCUGAAUCACUAAUUAAAAUCUAGCCCUUUAAGUAAAAUUUAAAUUAAUAAAAAGC